rnacentral:rRNA from 1 species
CGUAGGUAACCUGCCUUGUAGCGGGGGAUAACUAUUGGAAACGAUAGCUAAUACCGCAUAACAAUAGGUGACACAUGUCAUUUAUUUGAAAGGGGCAAUUGCUCCACUACAAGAUGGACCUGCGUUGUAUUAGCUAGUAGGUGAGGUAACGGCUCACCUAGGCGACGAUACAUAGCCGACCUGAGAGGGUGAUCGGCCACACUGGGACUGAGACACGGCCCAG